GGGCCCCUGUGGUGCGCGUGAUUAGCCGAGCGCUCCUGUGCCAACAGACACAUCAAGGGAACCUCCUCUUGCGCUGGUGUGCGAUUCACGAAAGUGAGUUGCCUGAAGGGGCAACGAGGUACCCACCUAGCUAAAUCGGUUCAAGGCCGACGGCUGACACGGCAUUUCGCGGGGGCGAU
rnacentral:other from 1 species